rnacentral:rRNA from 1 species
GAUAAACGCUGGCGGCGCACAUAAGACAUGCAAGUCGAACGAACUUAACUCAUUCAUUACGAUUGAGAGCGGUUAGUGGCGGACUGGUGAGUAACACGUAAGCAACCUGCCUGUUAGAGGGGAACAACAGUUAGAAAUGACUGCUAAUACCGCAUAUGCCUUAACUAUCGCAUGAUAGAAGAGGGAAAGGAGCAAUCCGCUGACAGAUGGGCUUGCGUCUGAUUAGAUAGUUGGUGGGGUAAAGGCCUACCAAGUCGACGAUCAGUAGCCGGACUGAGAGGUUGAACGGCCACAUUGGGACUGAGAUACGGCCCAG